UACGUAGGGGGCAAGCGUUGUCCGGAUUUAUUGGGCGUAAAGCGCGUGUAGGCGGCUAGAUAGGUCCGUUGUGAAAACUCGAGGCUCAACCUCGAGACGUCGAUGGAAACCAUCUGGCUAGAGUGCGGGAGAGGAGAGUGGAAUUCCUGGUGUAGCGGUGAAAUGCGCAGAUAUCAGGAAGAACACCCGUGGCGAAGGCGGCUCUCUGGAACGCAACUGACGCUGAGACGCGAAAGCGUGGGGAGCAAACAGG
rnacentral:rRNA from 1 species